rnacentral:rRNA from 1 species
AUGGUUGAGACAAGAAAGAAUGAACAAUAUUAUAUUGUUUACAAACUUCUUAAAUUGGUUCUCAUUCUUCCGGUAGCCACUGCUAGCGUUGAGAGGGUAUUUUCCUCGAUGAAAUACGUGAAGAAUUCACUAAGAAACAAAAUGGGUGAUGAAUAUUUGAACGAUUGCUUGGUUACAUUCGUUGAGAGAGAAUUCUUCAGGCAAGUGAAAGAUGAAGAUGUCAUCAAUCUCUUCCAAAAAGGGGAUCGUAAAGUUAUAUUGUAA